AGUGAACGCUGGCGGUAGGCCUAACACAUGCAAGUCGAACGGCAGCACAGGAGAGCUUGCUCUCUGGGUGGCGAGUGGCGGACGGGUGAGGAAUACAUCGGAAUCUACCUUUUCGUGGGGGAUAACGUAGGGAAACUUACGCUAAUACCGCAUAAGACCUUCGGGUGAAAGCAGGGGACCUUCGGGCCUUGCGCGGAUAGAUGAGCCGAUGUCGGAUUAGCUUGUUGGCGGGGUAAAAGCCCACCAAGGCGACGAUCCGUAGCUGGUCUGAGAGGAUGAUCAGCCACACUGGAACUGAGACACGGUCCAGACUCCUACGGGAGGCAGCAGUGGGGAAUAUUGGACAAUGGGCGCAAGCCUGAUCCAGCCAUACCGCGUGGGUGAAGAAGGCCUUCGGGUUGUAAAGUCCCUUUUGUUGGGAAAGAAAACUUGCGGGCUAAUACCCAGCAAGUCUGACGGUACCCAAAGAAUAAGCACCGGCUAACUUCGUGCCAGCAGCCGCGGUAAGGAGU
rnacentral:rRNA from 1 species